UUUUCCCGGCGGCGGCGUCAGGGGUGGACUCAGGGGCGGAAGGAGCAGAAGCAGCAGCGGCGGCGGGCGAGCUUUAUGCCUGUUUUAUUUCACUGCAAUCCAGUUUAAUGGAGCUGGAGCGACUGCACCGGGCCCGGCCCACGCCCCAGGAUGGACCUGAGACCCACAGCCACCCCCACACUGUUCCUUGGCGAUCCUGUGACACCCCAUAGAUAUGCCACAGACACACACCCCCCCAGCCCCGUAGUGCCCUAUAGGCCCACAACACGUGUCCCCCAGCUUUUAUUGACUCCUGGCGUCAUGAUGUCACCAGGACCGCGAUGACAUCGUCAGCAUCAUCAAUGACACAGUGCCCCAUAGGGCCCCCACUACCCCCCGCAACCCCUUUAUGCCUGUUUUAUUUCACUGCAGUCCAGUUUAAUGGAGCUGGAGCGACUGCACGGGGCCUGGCCCACGCCCCAGGAUGGACCUGAGCCCCCCGCGAAGCUUUAUGCUUGUUUUAUUUCACUGCAAUCCAGUUUAAUGGAGCUGGAGCGACUGCACCGGGCCCGGCCCACGCCCCAGGAUGGACCUGAGCCCCCUGAGAAGGGGAGACCCACAGCCACCCUCAGACUGCCCCAUGGCUACCGAGUGACACCCUUAGAUAACCCACAGCGCCCCAUAGACACCCCCCUUCUGCUCAUCCCCAUAGUGCCUUGUAGACCCACAACAUGUGUUCCCCAGCUUUUAUUGACUCCUGGCAUCCUGAUGUCACCACGACCUUGAUGACAUCAUCAGCAUCAUCAAUUACCCAGUGCCCUUUAGGGCCCCCACUACCCAUCUGCAACCCAUAAAUUGUAAUUUACUUC
rnacentral:lncRNA from 1 species